GGGAGGAUGGCCGAGUGGUUAAGGCGCUGUGUUUAGGCUUCCAAGCAGAUCCGCAGUCCGAAAGGGCGAGGGUAUUUAUGAGAAAUGAAUAGUCAUCGAAGCCUGAUACUAAUGGUGUUAGGUUCGAACCCCUCUCCUCUCA